UACGGAGGUUGCAAGCGUUGUUCGGAAUCACUGGGCGUAAAGGGCGUGUAGGUGGCUAAGUAAGUCAGGUGUGAAAUCCUUCCGCUUAACGGGAGAAGUGCACUUGAAACUGCUUAGCUAGAGUACGGGAGAGGAAGGUGGAAUUCCUGGUGUAGAGGUGAAAUUCAUAGAUAUCGGGAAGAACACCGGUGGCGAAGGCGGCCUUCUGGCCCGAUACUGACGCUGAGACGCGAAAGCGUGGGGAGCAAACAGG
rnacentral:rRNA from 1 species